rfam:Felis catus isolate Cinnamon breed Abyssinian chromosome B2, whole genome shotgun sequence.
GCCUGGGUGGCUCAGUCGGUUGAGUGUCCGACUUCGGUUCAGGUCAUGAUCUCAGUCUGUGGGUUCGAGCCCCGCGUCAGGCU